rnacentral:rRNA from 1 species
GUACACAAAAAUGCACAUGCUGUGAGCUCGAUGAGUAGGGCGGGACACGUGGUAUCCUGUCUGAAUAUGGGGGGACCAUCCUCCAAGGCUAAAUACUCCUGACUGACCGAUAGUGAACCAGUACCGUGAGGGAAAGGCGAAAAGAACCCCGGCGAGGGGAGUGAAAAAGAACCUGAAACCGUGUACGUACAAGCAGUGGGAGCACGCUUAGGCGUGUGACUGCGUACCUUUUGUAUAAUGGGUCAGCGACUUAUAUUCUGUAGCAAGGUUAACCGAAUAGGGGAGCCGAAGGGAAACCGAGUCUUAACUGGGCGUUAAGUUGCAGGGUAUAGACCCGAAACCCGGUGAUCUAGCCAUGGGCAGGUUGAAGGUUGGGUAACACUAACUGGAGGACCGAACCGACUAAUGUUGAAAAAUUAGCGGAUGACUUGUGGCUGGGGGUGAAAGGCCAAUCAAACCGGGAGAUAGCUGGUUCUCCCCGAAAGCUAUUUAGGUAGCGCCUCGUGAAUUCAUCUCCGGGGGUAGAGCACUGUUUCGGCAAGGGGGUCAUCCCGACUUACCAACCCGAUGCAAACUGCGAAUACCGGAGAAUGUUAUCACGGGAGACACACGGCGGGUGCUAACGUCCGUCGUGAAGAGGGAAACAACCCAGACCGCCAGCUAAGGUCCCAAAGUCAUGGUUAAGUGGGAAACGAUGUGGGAAGGCCCAGACAGCCAGGAUGUUGGCUUAGAAGCAGCCAUCAUUUAAAGAAAGCGUAAUAGCUCACUGGUCGAGUCGGCCUGCGCGGAAGAUGUAACGGGGCUAAACCAUGCACCGAAGCUGCGGCAGCGACGCUUAUGCGUUGUUGGGUAGGGGAGCGUUCUGUAAGCCUGCGAAGGUGUGCUGUGAGGCAUGCUGGAGGUAUCAGAAGUGCGAAUGCUGACAUAAGUAACGAUAAAGCGGGUGAAAAGCCCGCUCGCCGGAAGACCAAGGGUUCCUGUCCAACGUUAAUCGGGGCAGGGUGAGUCGACCCCUAAGGCGAGGCCGAAAGGCGUAGUCGAUGGGAAACAGGUUAAUAUUCCUGUACUUGGUGUUACUGCGAAGGGGGGACGGAGAAGGCUAUGUUGGCCGGGCGACGGUUGUCCCGGUUUAAGCGUGUAGGCUGGUUUUCCAGGCAAAUCCGGAAAAUCAAGGCUGAGGCGUGAUGACGAGGCACUACGGUGCUGAAGCAACAAAUGCCCUGCUUCCAGGAAAAGCCUCUAAGCAUCAGGUAACAUCAAAUCGUACCCCAAACCGACACAGGUGGUCAGGUAGAGAAUACCAAGGCGCUUGAGAGAACUCGGGUGAAGGAACUAGGCAAAAUGGUGCCGUAACUUCGGGAGAA